rnacentral:rRNA from 1 species
GAGUUUGAUCUUGGCUCAGGACGAACGCUGGCGGCGUGCCUAACACAUGCAAGUGGAGCGACGAACCAGGGCUUGCCCUGGUGCAAAGCCGCGAACGGGGUGAGUAACACGUGGGUAACCUGCCCCGAUGACCGGGACAACCCGAGGAAACUCGGGCUAAUACCGGAUGUGAUGUCCACACAUGAGUGUGUCCAUUAAAGGAAGCUUCGGCCUCCACAUUGGGAUGGGCCCGCGGCCCAUUAGCUUGUUGGUAGGGUAAUGGCCUACCAAGGCUUCGAUGGGUAGCUGGUCUGAGAGGACGAUCAGCCACACUGGGACUGAGACACGGCCCAGACUCCUACGGGAGGCAGCAGUGGGGAAUCUUGCGCAAUGCGCGAAAGCGUGACGCAGCAACGCCGCGUGAGGGAAGACGGCCUCGG